UGGUGUAGCGUCAGCACUGAACAACAGAUGGAACAUUAGCCCAGGACACACAGCGGAUCCUGAAGACAAGCAUUUGCUCGUGGGUUGAAUUUGGAGAAGCACAACACACUCAGAGGGUAACUGUUCCUGAUCUUCAAGGUCGUCCAUUAAUAAGUGUUCAAAGUUGGUUUGUUCUCCAGUUUUCGACGUAUCUGUUUGUACAGUGAAGUGUCAAGAACUCCAGCCUCCAUUGAUUCAAGACCACUUGUCCUCUGUACAAAUACUUAGCCUGGCAGCAGAGCGAAGAAGAGACUGCAGGACAUGUUUGUUCUCUGCAGAUGCUGGCACCACCCAUGAAAGGCAAACAACUGUGUCUGUGGAGCUGGAUCCCCUCUGGUCACAGGGAACAGCCAGACUUCCUGGGACAGGGGUCAGAAGGCGGGAGACAGGCAGGGGCAGCCAGUGAGGAAGGAACCAGGACGAGGUCCCAGGAGACGCCCAGGAGGAGACAGCCCAAGUGGAGGAGAGGCCUGGAAGCAGGCGGGCACCUUGAGCCUUCAUGUCCCCUUUGCUGGUGGGGUUUGCCUCAAUCAAUACUUUUUGGACAAGACCUGGAUUGAGACAGAAAGUUGAUAUUAUGCAAACUAAGGUAAGUUUGUGUUAUAUUUCCUUUUCAACUGGGACAUUAGUUAUUGGUUGUCACAUGUACUCACACAUAAAUAAAAUGUGGACUUAUUAGGCCAGGAGGAAGGACAGAUACGGGGGAGGAGAAGCUGUAACCAGAAGGCAGUAGAAAGCCCAGACCUCCCCCAGGGCCCUUGCUGCACUCAGUCCCUGUUGAGUCAGAGAAACAAGUGCCCAGGGGAAGAAAGAAGAAAAGAGACACUGCUCCUGCUGCCUGUGCCUCCUCCUUCCAGAGUGCUCUGCGGGGCAGGCUGCAGGCAGGGCCUUGUCACCCUGGCACCCUCCAGUUCUCCAUCUCUAACUCCAUCUGGACCCGUGUGCCAGCCUGUAUCCAGGACCCCAACCUUUCCCUCUCUGUAAACGAGUCAGUGCAAAUUCAUGGCCCCAGCCCAUAAAGAACAGGGUGUUUCCGUCUCUUAGGCCUCAAAUGUUUUAAAUGCACAGAAAGAGAUAGUGAGUGUUCAGGGUGUCUCUGCCGCAUGCAUUCAGCAGCAGCUACCAUGGCCGACCUGGGCACCACACUUCAGAUAUGUGGCUCUGCACAGUACAGGAGAUUGGGCCAGUCAUCAUGUCCUACAAACACACAGCACGGAAGCAUUGCCUACACCACAAAACCACAGGUGCUCAGGGACAAAUGUUUAAGCUACUGAGGCUGCACCAGGCUCAAACACAGAUGGCAUCUUUCAGAUCACCAGAGGCAGUGUCCGCCAGACAUGCAAUUCCUCCGCGGGAGUCAGACCCCAGGUCACCCAGCUUGCUGGGAGGGUUCCUCCGGAGCAGAGGGAGACAUGCCCAAGUCAGACUGGGGAACACCAGCAGUUGACUUCUGUAGCGUUUGCCACCAGUACCAUCUUCCUCUGUAACUGUAUCUUCCCAACUUCUUGUGAAUAUCUCCACCAGAUGUUCUGUCAGCACUUAAAACUCACAUUUCAACACUUGAUCUGAAUUCCUCCAAAUCCCACUUCUUCCCCUGGGCACCCUGAUUCGGUGCUGGCACCACCAUCAACCAGGCAGCCAGAACCAAACUUUGGGGGUCUUCUCACUCUCAUGCUCCC
rnacentral:lncRNA from 1 species